rnacentral:tRNA from 1 species
CGGGAAGUGGCGCAGCCUGGUAGCGCACCAGUUUUGGGUACUGGGGGUCGGAGGUUCGAAUCCUCUCUUCCCGACCA